UACGUAGGAGACGAGCGUUGUCCGGAGUUACUGGGCGUAAAGCGCGCGCAGGCGGCUAUCCAAGUCAGUGGUGAAAGCCCGGAGCUCAACUCCGGAACUGCCAUUGAAACUGUUUAGCUUGAGGAUGAGAGAGGUGAGUGGAAUUCCCAGUGUAGAGGUGAAAUUCGUAGAUAUUGGGAAGAACACCGGUGGCGAAGGCGGCUCACUGGCUCAUUACUGACGCUCAGGCGCGAUAGCGUGGGGAUCAAACAGG
rnacentral:rRNA from 1 species